rnacentral:rRNA from 1 species
UACGUAGGGACCGAGCGUUGUCCGGAAUCAUUGGGCGUAAAGAGCGUGUAGGCGGCUUGCUAAGUCUUGCGUGAAAUCUCGGGGCUCAACCCCGAGCGGUCGUGGGAAACUGGCAGGCUAGAGUGCGGGAGAGGAGAAUGGAAUUCCUGGUGUAGCGGUGAAAUGCGCAGAUAUCAGGAAGAACACCAAUGGCGAAAGCAGCUUUCUGGGACGGUACUGACGCUGAGACGCGAAAGCGUGGGGAGCGAACAGG